UAGGGGGCGAGCGUUAUCCGGAUUUACUGGGUGUAAAGGGAGCGUAGACGGCAAUGCAAGUCUGAAGUGAAAGCCCGUGGCUCAACCGCGGAACGGCUUUGGAAACUGUAUGGCUGGAGUGCUGGAGAGGUAAGCGGAAUUCCUAGUGUAGCGGUGAAAUGCGUAGAUAUUAGGAGGAACACCAGUGGCGAAGGCGGCUUACUGGACAGUAACUGACGUUGAGGCUCGAAAGCGUGGGGAGCAA
rnacentral:rRNA from 1 species